UGGGGAAUAUUGCACAAUGGGGGAAACCCUGAUGCAGCGACGCCGCGUGAAGGAAGAAGUAUCUCGGUAUGUAAACUUCUAUCAGCAGGGAAGAUAGUGACGGUACCUGACUAAGAAGCCCCGGCUAACUACGUGCCAGCAGCCGCGGUAAUACGUAGGGGGCAAGCGUUAUCCGGAUUUACUGGGUGUAAAGGGAGCGUAGACGGUGUGGCAAGUCUGAUGUGAAAGGCAUGGGCUCAACCUGUGGACUGCAUUGGAAACUGUCAUACUUGAGUGCCGGAGGGGUAAGCGGAAUUCCUAGUGUAGCGGUGAAAUGCGUAGAUAUUAGGAGGAACACCAGUGGCGAAGGCGGCUUACUGGACGGUAACUGACGUUGAGGCUCGAAAGCGUGGGGAGCAAACAGGA
rnacentral:rRNA from 2 species